rnacentral:rRNA from 1 species
CAGCAGCCGCCACGGUAAUACGUAGGGUGCAAGCGUUAAUCGGAAUUACUGGGCGUAAAGCGUGCGCAGGCGGUUAUAUAAGACAGAUGUGAAAUCCCCGGGCUCAACCUGGGAACUGCAUUUGUGACUGUAUAGCUAGAGUACGGCAGAGGGGGAUGGAAUUCCGCGUGUAGCAGUGAAAUGCGUAGAUAUGCGGAGGAACACCGAUGGCGAAGGCAAUCCCCUGGGCCUGUACUGACGCUCAUGCACGAAAGCGUGGGGAGCAAACAGGAUUAGAUACCCCUGUAGUCCCUGUCUCUUU